GAUGAACGCUGGCGGCGUGCCUAAUACAUGCGAGUCGAGCGAACGGACGAGAAGCUUGCUUCUCUGAUGUUAGCGGCGGACGGGUGAGUAACACGUGGAUAACCUACCUAUAAGACUGGGAUAACUUCGGGAAACCGGAGCUGAUACCGGAUAAUAUUUUGAACCGCAUGGUUCAAAAGUGAAAGACGGUCUUGCUGUCACUUAUAGAUGGAUCCGCGCUGCAUUAGCUAGUUGGUAAGGUAACGGCUUACCAAGGCAACGAUGCAUAGCCGACCUGAGAGGGUGAUCGGCCACACUGGAACUGAGACACGGUCCAGACUCCUACGGGAGGCAGCAGUAGGGAAUCUUCCGCAAUGGGCGAAAGCCUGACGGAGCAACGCCGCGUGAGUGAUGAAGGUCUUCGGAUCGUAAAACUCUGUUAUUAGGGAAGAACAUAUGUGUAAGUAACUGUGCACAUCUUGACGGUACCUAAUCAGAAAGCCACGGCUAACUACGUG
rnacentral:rRNA from 1 species